GUGGGGAAUAUUGGACAAUGGGCGAAAGCCUGAUCCAGCCAUGCCGCGUGUGUGAAGAAGGUCUUCGGAUUGUAAAGCACUUUAAGUUGGGAGGAAGGGCAGUAAGUUAAUACCUUGCUGUUUUGACGUUACCGACAGAAUAAGCACCGGCUAACUUCGUGCCAGCAGCCGCGGUAAUACGAAGGGUGCAAGCGUUAAUCGGAAUUACUGGGCGUAAAGCGCGCGUAGGUGGUUUUGUAAGUUGGAGGUGAAAUCCCCGGGCUCAACCUGGGAACUGCCUCCAAAACUGCAUGACUAGAGUACGGUAGAGGGUAGUGGAAUUUCCUGUGUAGCGGUGAAAUGCGUAGAUAUAGGAAUGAACACCAGUGGCGAAGGCGACUACCUGGACUGAUACUGACACUGAGGUGCGAAAGCGUGGGGAGCAAACAGGAUUAGAUACCCUAGUAGUCC
rnacentral:rRNA from 1 species